UACGUAGGGUGCGAGCGUUGUCCGGAAUUAUUGGGCGUAAAGGGCUCGUAGGCGGUUUGUCGCGUCGGGAGUGAAAACACACAGCUUAACUGUGUGCUUGCUUCCGAUACGGGCAGACUAGAGGUAUGCAGGGGAGAACGGAAUUCCUGGUGUAGCGGUGAAAUGCGCAGAUAUCAGGAGGAACACCGGUGGCGAAGGCGGUUCUCUGGGCCUGUACUGACGCUGAGGAACGAAAGCGUGGGGAGCGAACAGG
rnacentral:rRNA from 1 species